GCAGGAAGGAGUCCACUGGAGGCCAGAACUGAAGUCUUCAUUGCACCUGCUGCUGAUGACUGACCGUGGAAAAGGAGGGCUCUCUGUCUGGCUGCUUCCCUGUGACAGUCCUGAAGGAAGCUACCUUCCCUUCCCCCAGUGCUGAAGGAAGUCAGGCUGAAAGCCUCUCUCACCAGUUCACAGGAGGGUAGUGCUGCCUUCUGGAAACACAAUGAAAUAGGGAACGACUGUGCUGUGGUUUGCCAAGGAUCUUUUUUUUUUCUGAUG